rnacentral:rRNA from 1 species
UUAAGCGACUAAGCGUACACGGUGGAUGCCCUGGCAGUCAGAGGCGAUGAAGGACGUGCUAAUCUGCGAUAAGCGUCGGUGAGGUGAUAUGAACCGUUAUAACCGGCGAUUUCCGAAUGGGGAAACCCAGUGUGUUUCGACACACUAUCAUUAACUGAAUCCAUAGGUUAAUGAGGCGAACCGGGGGAACUGAAACAUCUAAGUACCCCGAGGAAAAGAAAUCAACCGAGAUUCCCCCAGUAGCGGCGAGCGAACGGGGAGGAGCCCAGAGCCUGAAUCAGUGUGUGUGUUAGUGGAAGCGUCUGGAAAGGCGCGCGAUACAGGGUGACAGCCCCGUACACAAAAAUGCACAUAUUGUGAGCUCGAUGAGUAGGGCGGGACACGUGGUAUCCUGUCUGAAUAUGGGGGGACCAUCCUCCAAGGCUAAAUACUCCUGACUGACCGAUAGUGAACCAGUACCGUGAGGGAAAGGCGAAAAGAACCCCGGCGAGGGGAGUGAAAAAGAACCUGAAACCGUGUACGUACAAGCAGUGGGAGCCUCUUAAUGGGGUGACUGCGUACCUUUUGUAUAAUGGGUCAGCGACUUAUAUUCUGUAGCAAGGUUAACCGAAUAGGGGAGCCGAAGGGAAACCGAGUCUUAACUGGGCGUUAAGUUGCAGGGUAUAGACCCGAAACCCGGUGAUCUAGCCAUGGGCAGGUUGAAGGUUGGGUAACACUAACUGGAGGACCGAACCGACUAAUGUUGAAAAAUUAGCGGAUGACUUGUGGCUGGGGGUGAAAGGCCAAUCAAACCGGGAGAUAGCUGGUUCUCCCCGAAAGCUAUUUAGGUAGCGCCUCGUGAAUUCAUCUCCGGGGGUAGAGCACUGUUUCGGCAAGGGGGUCAUCCCGACUUACCAACCCGAUGCAAACUGCGAAUACCGGAGAAUGUUAUCACGGGAGACACACGGCGGGUGCUAACGUCCGUCGUGAAGAGGGAAACAACCCAGACCGCCAGCUAAGGUCCCAAAGUCAUGGUUAAGUGGGAAACGAUGUGGGAAGGCCCAGACAGCCAGGAUGUUGGCUUAGAAGCAGCCAUCAUUUAAAGAAAGCGUAAUAGCUCACUGGUCGAGUCGGCCUGCGCGGAAGAUGUAACGGGGCUAAACCAUGCACCGAAGCUGCGGCAGCGACGCUUAUGCGUUGUUGGGUAGGGGAGCGUUCUGUAAGCCUGUGAAGGUGGCCUGUGAGGGUUGCUGGAGGUAUCAGAAGUGCGAAUGCUGACAUAAGUAACGAUAAAGCGGGUGAAAAGCCCGCUCGCCGGAAGACCAAGGGUUCCUGUCCAACGUUAAUCGGGGCAGGGUGAGUCGACCCCUAAGGCGAGGCCGAAAGGCGUAGUCGAUGGGAAACAGGUUAAUAUUCCUGUACUUGGUGUUACUGCGAAGGGGGGACGGAGAAGGCUAUGUUGGCCGGGCGACGGUUGUCCCGGUUUAAGCGUGUAGGCUGGUUUUCCAGGCAAAUCCGGAAAACCAAGGCUGAGGCGUGAUGACGAGGCACUACGGUGCUGAAGCAACAAAUGCCCUGCUUCCAGGAAAAGCCUCUAAGCAUCAGGUAACAUCAAAUCGUACCCCAAACCGACACAGGUGGUCAGGUAGAGAAUACCAAGGCGCUUGAGAGAACUCGGGUGAAGGAACUAGGCAAAAUGGUGCCGUAACUUCGGGAGAAGGCACGCUGAUAUGUAGGUGAAGCGACUUGCUCGUGGAGCUGAAAUCAGUCGAAGAUACCAGCUGGCUGCAACUGUUUAUUAAAAACACAGCACUGUGCAAACACGAAAGUGGACGUAUACGGUGUGACGCCUGCCCGGUGCCGGAAGGUUAAUUGAUGGGGUUAGCGGCAACGCGAAGCUCUUGAUCGAAGCCCCGGUAAACGGCGGCCGUAACUAUAACGGUCCUAAGGUAGCGAAAUUCCUUGUCGGGUAAGUUCCGACCUGCACGAAUGGCGUAAUGAUGGCCAGGCUGUCUCCACCCGAGACUCAGUGAAAUUGAACUCGCUGUGAAGAUGCAGUGUACCCGCGGCAAGACGGAAAGACCCCGUGAACCUUUACUAUAGCUUGACACUGAACAUUGAGCCUUGAUGUGUAGGAUAGGUGGGAGGCUUUGAAGUGUGGACGCCAGUCUGCAUGGAGCCGACCUUGAAAUACCACCCUUUAAUGUUUGAUGUUCUAACGUUGGCCCGUAAUCCGGGUUGCGGACAGUGUCUGGUGGGUAGUUUGACUGGGGCGGUCUCCUCCUAAAGAGUAACGGAGGAGCACGAAGGUUGGCUAAUCCUGGUCGGACAUCAGGAGGUUAGUGCAAUGGCAUAAGCCAGCUUGACUGCGAGCGUGACGGCGCGAGCAGGUGCGAAAGCAGGUCAUAGUGAUCCGGUGGUUCUGAAUGGAAGGGCCAUCGCUCAACGGAUAAAAGGUACUCCGGGGAUAACAGGCUGAUACCGCCCAAGAGUUCAUAUCGACGGCGGUGUUUGGCACCUCGAUGUCGGCUCAUCACAUCCUGGGGCUGAAGUAGGUCCCAAGGGUAUGGCUGUUCGCCAUUUAAAGUGGUACGCGAGCUGGGUUUAGAACGUCGUGAGACAGUUCGGUCCCUAUCUGCCGUGGGCGCUGGAGAACUGAGGGGGGCUGCUCCUAGUACGAGAGGACCGGAGUGGACGCAUCACUGGUGUUCGGGUUGUCAUGCCAAUGGCACUGCCCGGUAGCUAAAUGCGGAAGAGAUAAGUGCUGAAAGCAUCUAAGCACGAAACUUGCCCCGAGAUGAGUUCUCCCUGAGACUUAGAGUCUCCUGAAGGAACGUUGAAGACGACGACGUUGAUAGGCCGGGUGUGUAAGCGCAGCGAUGCGUUGAGCUAACCGGUACUAAUGAACCGUGAGGCUUAACCUU